rnacentral:rRNA from 1 species
UGGGGAAUAUUGCACAAUGGAGGGAACUCUGAUGCAGCAACGCCGCGUGCGGGAUGACGGCCUUCGGGUUUUAAACCGCUUUCAGCCAUGACGAAGCUUUUGUGACGGUAGUGGUAGAAGAAGCACCGGCUAACUACGUGCCAGCAGCCGCGGUGAUACGUAGGGUGCUAGCGUUUUCCGGAAUUAUUGGGCGUAAAGAGCUUGUAGGCGGUUUGUCGCGUCGAUAGUGUAAACACGCAGCUUAACUGUGUGCCUGCUGUCGAUACAGGCUGACUAGAGGAGGGUAGUGGGGAAUGGAAUUCCCGGUGCGGCGGUGGAAUGCGCAGAUAUCGGGAGGAACGACAGUGGCGAAGGCGGUUCUCUGGUCCUUUCCUGACGCUGAGAAGCGAAAGCGUGGGUAGCAAACAGG